rnacentral:rRNA from 1 species
GUCGGUGAUCAUUGGCUUAGGGUCACACCUGUUCCCAUCCCGAACACAGCAGUUAAGCCUAAGCCGCCGAUGAUACUGCUCAGCGGGAAAGUAGGUCGUCGCCGACU